UACGUAGGGUCCGAGCGUUGUCCGGAAUUAUUGGGCGUAAAGGGCUCGUAGGCGGUUUGUCGCGUCGGGAGUGAAAACACGGGGCUUAACCCCGUGCCUGCUUCCGAUACGGGCAGACUAGAGGUAUGCAGGGGAGAACGGAAUUCCUGGUGUAGCGGUGAAAUGCGCAGAUAUCAGGAGGAACACCGGUGGCGAAGGCGGUUCUCUGGGCCGAUACUGACGCUGAGGAGCGAAAGCGUGGGGAGCAAACAGG
rnacentral:rRNA from 1 species